rnacentral:ncRNA from 1 species
UCUUGAGGAGGCCUGCCCAUAGUACGAGAGGACCUGGGUGGACGAACCUCUGGUAUGCCAGUUAUCCCGCCAGGGGUAUGGCUGGUUAGCUACGUUCGGAAGGGAUAACCGCUGAAAGCAUCUAAGCGGGAAGCCCGCUCCAAGAUAAGGAUUCCGUAAGGCCUUGAGCCUUUGUACCCUCCAUGAAGAACACGUGGUUGAUAGGCCGGACGUGGAAGCCGUGCAAGCGGUGGAGCUGACCGGUACUAACAGGGAACAGCAACCAACUAU